rnacentral:rRNA from 1 species
UGCGUAGGCGGACUAUUAAGUCAGAUGUGAAAUUCCAGGGCUUAACCCUGGAACUGCAUUUGAAACUGAUAGUCUAGAGUGCAGGAGAGGAAAGCGGAAUUCCUAGUGUAGCGGUGAAAUGCGUAGAUAUUAGGAAGAACACCAGUGGCGAAGGCGGCUUUCUGGACUGUAACUGACGCUGAGGCACGAAAGCGUGGGGAGCAAACAGGAUUAGAUACCCUGGUAGUCCACGCUGUAAACGAUGAGUGCUAGGUGUAGGGGGUGUCAUGCCUUCUGUGCCGCAGUAAACGCAAUAAGCACUCCGCCUGGGGAGUACGGUCGCAAGACUAAA